UACGAAGGGGGCUAGCGUUGCUCGGAAUCACUGGGCGUAAAGGGUGCGUAGGCGGGUCUUUAAGUCAGGGGUGAAAUCCUGGAGCUCAACUCCAGAACUGCCUUUGAGACUGAGUGGCUUGAGUACGAGAGAGGUGAGUGGAAUUCCCAGUGUAGAGGUGAAAUUCGUAGAUAUUGGGAAGAACACCGGUGGCGAAGGCGGCUCACUGGCUCGUAACUGACGCUCAUGCACGACAGCGUGGGGAUCAAACAGG
rnacentral:rRNA from 1 species